rnacentral:lncRNA from 1 species
CGUUUCUAGAGUCUUCGUGUCAAGGAAAGGAGUUGCUUCUAGGGGCUGAAUUUCACCAUUAAUUCUUCUCUUAUUUCAUACUUGAGGACAAGUAUGAUCUAAGUGUGAGGGGAUUUGAUGUGUGUAUUUUAGCUACCUAGUUUAGUGUGCGUUUUGCCGUGGUUUCAUGUGAUAUUACAUGUUUUGCUAUGUUUUGGCGCAGGAAUUUGAAGAAGU